AAAUCUGUCAAUCCCCUGAGUGCAAUCACUGAUGUCUCCAUGUCUCUGAGCAAUGCCUGAUGGGGAGGGAUCUAGGCAUGCCAUCCCAGCGUGCUCGGUGGGACCAGGGUAGUCAGCUGAGGGAUGUUAGAGUUGAUUGUCCUUCAGCCUGUUAGUGGGAACUGUGUUCUUUCCCCUGAGGGGUUGUUCAUGAGGACCUCCGCCUGCUCUUGGAGACCCACCUGCCGUCCAAAAAGAAGAAAGUACUCUUGGGAGUUGGGGAUCCCAAGAUUGGUGCUGCAAUACAGGAGGAGUUAGGGUACAACUGCCAGACUGGAGGAGUCAUAGCUGAGAUCCUGCGAGGAGUUCGUCUGCACUUCCACAAUCUGGUGAAGGGUCUGACCGAUCUGUCAGCUUGUAAAGCACAGCUGGGGCUGGGACACAGCUAUUCCCGUGCCAAAGUUAAGUUUAAUGUGAACCGGGUGGACAAUAUGAUCAUCCAGUCCAUUAGCCUCCUGGACCAGCUGGAUAAGGACAUCAAUACCUUCUCUAUGCGUGUCAGGGAGUGGUACGGGUAUCACUUUCCGGAGCUGGUGAAGAUCAUCAACGACAAUGCCACAUACUGCCGUCUUGCCCAGUUUAUUGGAAACCGAAGGGAACUGAAUGAGGACAAGCUGGAGAAGCUGGAGGAGCUGACAAUGGAUGGGGCCAAGGCUAAGGCUAUUCUGGAUGCCUCACGGUCCUCCAUGG
rnacentral:sRNA from 1 species